UUUGUGUCUAUUUUACUUUCUGCACUAGUUUCUCUGCCCUCACUACAUUAACAAUUGGUAUCAGAGCGGGUCACCUAAGUUACUGGUGUGAUCUUGGAGAGUGAGGACAGAAACUUGUUCAGGAAGUAGAACAAAGUUUGAUUAGAGAUCGAUGAAGAUGGCGUGAUGAGUUUUCUUCUUAGAUUUGGAAGGUGCUGAUCUUCGAAUUGGUUUUUGACCAUGAUGUGACUCAUAUGGAGAGAUUGAAGACGUGGUUUUCAAACCAGUUAUGAUGAGUGCACAUGCAUAGUCAAAAAAGGGGAGAUUGAAGAUGCAGAUUCGAGAGAUUUUCUGUAUCAGUUCGUGAAGUACUACAGGAGAUAGUACAUGCGUGUGUCAUGAAGAUGGGCUUGGGCUGAGUUCGUGUUUCGUGAUGAGCGUGGGCUUGCUGAGCUCAGAAAAGGAAAGAAGAUAUGUGCUUGAAGACAUAUGGACGUUUUCCAUAAAGUAAAAGGGAGUUUACUUGAAGAUGAAGUUUUCUAUUAAGGUAAAUGGAAAGUUACCUUAUGUGUAAUGGAAAGACUUGGAGAACAAGUGGAAGACUUGGAGAUUAAGUUAAAGACGUGGAGAGCAAGUUCUGGUCUGCUAUAUAAGGAGGGACGUGCCUUAUGAGAAAGCCAGACCUCACAUAAUAGAAGAGUAAAAGGAUCUCAUUGUAUAUUGUGUAUCUGCUUGGUGUCGAAGCAGUGUAUGUAGUAGUUGUCGAUGGAGUCUGAUGUUGACUUAGUUUGGUGGCGUUGGUGUUGGCGCUUUGUGUGGUGGAGUUAGCCAUCGUGUGUGGAGCUCGUGGGUAGCUUCGUGUGUGCUUGGGUGAUCAAGCUUAGUGUCAUUGGUGUGCGUUAGGUGCUGACGUACUUGGUGAAGUACUUCCGAGAAGUGGAAGAUCGAAGCCUAGACUCAGGGGGAAUUUAGCAAAAGAGGUUUCAUUGAAGAGGUCUGUGAAGAUUGCAGCUGUAGAAGACAGUGUGCUCUGGCGUGUCCGGAUGGGAUCCGUUGUAUUCCUAAUCUUUGUAGAUUGCUCCUUAGAAAAGAGUGGUAGACACUCGUGUGUGUUGUACCAUAUAGCAAUUGUAGGUUGCUCCUUGUUCUAAGUCAAUGAAAUCUGGACGAGGUCCCGGGAAUGAGCGGAACAAUAAGCUACACAACUCUAUCUCAACUCCUCUCUCGAUUACCUUCAAGAAGAUUGAUAGACUUGUUCGGAAUGCAAUCAC